rnacentral:rRNA from 1 species
UUCGGCAAGGGGGUCAUCCCGACUUACCAACCCGAUGCAAACUGCGAAUACCGGAGAAUGUUAUCACGGGAGACACACGGCGGGUGCUAACGUCCGUCGUGAAGAGGGAAACAACCCAGACCGCCAGCUAAGGUCCCAAAGUCAUGGUUAAGUGGGAAACGAUGUGGGAAGGCCCAGACAGCCAGGAUGUUGGCUUAGAAGCAGCCAUCAUUUAAAGAAAGCGUAAUAGCUCACUGGUCGAGUCGGCCUGCGCGG